CGGAUCGAUCACCAUCCUUAUGAUGAUACUAUGAUCGAAAGUAUUUAGAAAUUAAUUAUACAUGUCUCUAAUUCUUAAUACCUUGAGAAUAUGUAUCGAAAUAUUAAUUUCAUGGAUGAUUCAAAGACACAUUACUCUUGAAUGAAAAUUAAACUUAUCCUUUUAUUGAUCAAAUCAAUAUAUUCAUGUAUAAAAUUAUGUCAUAGAUUUAUUACAAUAUGUCAGUCAUAUUGACUUCUGGGACAUACAUCUAACAAUCUUCCACUUGGAUUAAAGCUAAUUGGUCACUAAUCUAAGUCCCAUCUUUUUAAGAUGGACUUU
rnacentral:lncRNA from 1 species